rnacentral:tRNA from 1 species
GGGGAUUUAGCUCAGUGGUAGAGCGCUUGCUUAGCAUGCAUGAGGCCAUGGGUUCAAUUCCCAUAAUCUCCA